rnacentral:rRNA from 1 species
AGCGAACGCUGGCGGCAGGCUUAACACAUGCAAGUCGAGCGCCACGCUCCGGGCGCGGCCGACGGGAGAGUAACACGUGGGAACAUACCUUUUGGUCCUGACCAACUGAGCGUUACUUCAGCUACUACCGGAUAAGCCCUUACGGGGAAAGAUUUAUCGCCGAAAGAUUGGCCCGCGUCUGAUUAGCUAGUUGGUGAGGUAACGGCUCACCAAGGCGACGAUCAGUAGCUGGUCUGAGAGGAUGAUCAGCCUCACUGGGACUGAGACACGGCCCAGACUCCGACGGGAGGCAGCAGUGUGUGAUAUUGGACAAUGGGGGCAAUCCAGAACCAGCCAUGCCGGGUGAGAGAUGAAGGCCUUAUGGUUGUAAAGCACUGUUGCCCGGGAAGAUAGUGACGGUACCAGGAGAAUAAGCCCCGGCUAACUUCGUG